rfam:Gossypium arboreum cultivar AKA8401 contig_19305_1, whole genome shotgun sequence.
UGUUAAAAACUAAUCUAUUUUUACAUUUAAAAAUUAGCAUAAUUGAUGAUAUAACCAGACAAUUACAUGUGAUGUGCUACUGUAUACUUUGUGCUAAUAUAUAAUGACCAACUUUUAACAAUAAAAAUGAAAAGAAUUUUUAACA